rnacentral:rRNA from 1 species
UACGUAGGGGGCAAGCGUUGUCCGGAUUUAUUGGGCGUAAAGAGCUCGUAGGUGGUUCGGUAAGUCGGAUGUGAAAUCUCCAGGCUCAACCUGGAGGGGUCAUUCGAUACUGCCGUGACUAGAGGUCGGUAGGGGAGUGUGGAAUUCCUGGUGGAGCGGUGAAAUGCGGCAGAUAUCAGGAGGAACACCGGUGGCGAAGGCGGGUCUCUGGGCCGAUACUGACGCUGAGGAGCGAAAGCGUGGGGAGCGAACAGG